AGCAUGUUAGCUCAGGGGAAGAGCGCCGGGCUCAUAACCCGGAGGUACGUUUCACCGCAAACAAAUAAUUCAACAACAUCAAACUAACUCACAAUAGGACCCUGGAUCGAAACCAGGACAUGCUA
rnacentral:tRNA from 1 species